rnacentral:lncRNA from 1 species
GGGCAGCUGGAUCCACAGGAGCUCGUGUUCGGGGUCACCGUGGAUGGACUCUGAAUUUUAGGGUCUCCGACAUGGAAAUGGUGCAUUUCAGGUGUUGAAGUCAGCUGAGGCCUUUUUCCGUGCAUCUAAUCUAUCAUGUAACACCGAUUCUGUGUCAUUUUCUAUUGGUGUAAGAAUCAUAUUAAUCUUCCACAUGUUCGUUUUGUAUAUAACAUCAGGACAGAGACCCACACUCAUAUGUCAUUUUCUUGUGCUUAUGUUGCUUCCAUAUUGUCGCAAGUAAGAUAUGUUGCUGAUCCAGGCUCCAGUAGACCCAUUAUUCCUUCAAUGAUGUUCCUCUUCGAUUUGUUUGUGCAGCAUCACCAACUCAACUCCAUGCAUAUGCAGAUGCAGGGGGGAGGAGAGGACCACUACUUUGAUUCUCUGAUUUUUUUUGUGAGAAUUAAGAUGGGUGGCUUCUCGUGUAGAACUCAGUUUACAUAUAUUUUUUAUUUUAUAACUAGACCUAUGCUUUUAUCAGGUUUUCUUAUGAUGUGUUCAUAUUCUGUAG